rnacentral:lncRNA from 10 species
GACAUAUUUCCACAUAAAUGUCAACUUUUACAGUUUUUCUAGGGGUUAGUAAUUUUUUGAUUUAGUUCCCUUGAGAGAACAUACUCUGAAUGAAUUCAGUCAUUUGAAAUGAGGCUCGCUUUUUGAUUCAGCAUAUGGUUUCAGAUUAAUGUUCUAUGUUCACUUGAAAGGUAUAUAUAUAUAAUUCAUAUAUAUAAUUCAUAAUUCUAGAUAUGCAUACACCAAUUUCUAAUGAAUUGAUUACUGUAUUAUUACGAAAUGUCUGUUAUCUUUGAUACUUCUUGUCUUUUUUUUUUUUUUUUUUGAGGCAGAGUUUUGCUCUUGUCGC